UUUCCGUAGGUGAACCUGCGGAAGGAUCAUUACUGGGUUAAAAGGGCUUCUGCCCGCCACCCGCCCUCUGUCAUCGAUAAAACGAAAUGCUUCGGCCGACGGUUCCGCUAGCACCUGGCGAUCAGCCUGUGCGAACGGGGUCGCGGUCGGUCUCCCAAAUCUUGAGUGCAUGCGUGUAGUCUGAAUGCAAAAAAAACGAAACCAAAACUUUCAACAACGGAUCUCUUGGUUCUGGCAUCGAUGAAGAACGCAGC
rnacentral:misc_RNA from 1 species